rnacentral:rRNA from 1 species
UACGUAGGGGGCUAGCGUUGCCCGGAAUCACUGGGCGUAAAGCGGGUGUAGGCGGUCCUUUAAGUCGGAUGUGAAAUCCUACGGCUCAACCGUGGAACUGCAUCCGAUACUGGAGGACUUGAGGACGGUAGAGGUCGGUGGAAUACCCUGUGUACCGGUGAAAUGGGCAGAUAUAGGGUGGAACACCAGUGGCGAAGGCGGCCGACUGGGCCGAUCCUGACGCUGAGACCCGAAAGCCAGGGGAGCAAACCGG